CUUGGGCCGGUCGGGCGGGGGUGGCGGGAACGGCCGCAGCUUGGGUUCCCAGCGCGCUGGGCCUCUGCGCCGCCCCCGCCUCCUCCCGCCGCGGGCAGCUGCCUCCCGGGGCGCCCUGCAGCGGUGGGGUCGGGGGAUAGGGAAAUUCAACCCGGCAGCCUCGUGCCAGAGACAAAAGCUGGCUGCCGGCCGCAUUGUCUGACGGCGCUGCCUCCCGGCUUUUUGUCCUCGCCUCGCGCCUCGCCGCCACGCCCCUCCGCAGCUGUCGAGGCUCCUCUCGCUCCGGCUCGGCGCUGGCCCUCGCUUUCCUCGCCCUACGCCCCGGCCAGGCUCCGCGCCCGCCAUGGAGAAGACGGAGCUGAUCCAGAAGGCCAAACUGGCCGAGCGCUACGACGACAUGGCCACCUGCAUGAAGGCCGUGACCCAGCAGGGCGCUGAGCUGUCCAAGGAGGAGCACGACCUGCUCUCCCUGGCCUACAAGAACGUGGUCGGGGCCGCAGGUCCGCCUGGAGAGUCAUCUCAAGCACCCAGCAGAAGACCUACACCUCCGACAAGAACUUGCAGCUGAUUAAGGACUAUCGGGAGAAAGCGGAGUCCGAGCUGAGAUCCAUCUGCACGACGGUCCUGGAAUUGUUGGAUAAAUAUUUAAUAGCCAAUGCAACUAAUCCAGAGAAUAGGGUCUUCUAUCUGAAAAUGAAGGGUAAUUACUUCCGGUACUUUGCUGAAGUUGCAUAUGGUGAUGAUCCAAAACGAUAAUUCCCAAGGAGCUUACCAAGAGGCAUUUGAUAUAAGCAAGAAAGAUGCAACCCACACAACCCAAUCCGCCUAGGGCUUGCUCUUAACCUUUCUGUAUUUUACUAUGAGAUUCUUAAUAACCCAGAGCUUGCCUGCACGCUGGUUAAAACGGCUUUUGAUGAGGCCAUAACUGAACUUGAUACACUGAAUGAACACUCAUACAAAGCACCCUCAUCAUGCAGUUGCUUAGAGACAGCCUAACACUUUGGACAUCAGACAGUGCAGGAGAAGAAUGUGAUGUUGCAGAAGGGGCUGAAAUCUAAAUCCAUGCAGGGUGUCAUCCUUCUUUCCUUAAAGAAACCUUUCUAGACAUCUCCAUUCCUUAUUCCACUUGGAUUUCCUAUAGCAAAGAAACCCAUUCAUGUGUAUGGAAUCAACUGUUUAUAGUCUUUUCAUACUGCAGCUUUGGGAAAACUUCAUUCCUUGAUCAGUGUUUGUCUUGGCCUUCCUGGUGUGCAGUUACUGCUGUAGAAAAGUAUUAAUAGCUUCAUUUUAUAUAAACGUAAGUAACUUCCAAACACUUAUAGAGGACUAAAAAUGUAUCUGGUAUUUAAUCUGAACCAGUUCUGCAAGUGACUGUGUUUUGUAUUACUGUGAAGAUACGAAAAUGUAGUUAAUUACAGUUUAAAGAGUGUCCCACAUAACUUAAUUUCUAGAUUCCCUCCCUUACUCUUUGGGGGUUUCCUUUCAAUAAGCAACUUUUCCAUGCUCUUAAUGUAUUCCUUUUUAGUAGGAAUCUAGAAAUAUUAGAUUGAAUGGA